rnacentral:misc_RNA from 1 species
CUGAGUGAGGGUUUCACCGCCCGACCUCCAACCCUUUGUGAACCACAACUUGUUGCUUCGGGGGCGACCCUGCCGUUCGCGGCAUCGCGCCCCCGGAGGAUACUUAACCCUGCAUCAUUGCGUCGGAGUAUUUUUUAUUAAUAAAUA